GGAGGCUGGCUAAGUGUUGGCUGAGUAGGAAAGCCAGCAAAGUCCUCCUCGUCAGAAGAAACAGCGGGGGAACGAAAUAUAUCAGUUAGCUGUUCCUGGGCUGCUGAGGUGGUGUUUGGAACAGAAGCAUAGCAUGGAUGCUUGGGAGCAACUGGCUGGGCGACGCCACGAGUUGUGCAGGGCAAAAAGCAGCGGAGGUACAAUCAGUAGCUGCAGAGAGCAAUGUUGCAAUAGGCAGCAGUACAAGUCGGUGAGAGAGGAGCUCUUGUAGAGCUAACUAGUCCUAUUUGAAAACUCACAUACAAGAAAGCCUGGUCAAGUGAAUGUUUUCGAUUGUGCACCUUCCUCAAUUUGGAUAUAUUCACAAAUGAGACCGGACUGUUGAAUUGUUUUCAUCCAUGAAGUGCUACUUGAGAGAUUGAGGAUGUUAAGAAGAUAGUUGGCAGAUCUGCUGUUUUUUCUAAAAUUAAUGUAUAACAUUAAAAUGUUUGUGGGUUGAUACUGUUUCUAGAGCAAGAUACUUAUUCAAGACAAUGAAAACCCUUCAAUUUUUCCAAGAGGUUCUUUUUCUGUAUAGCACUUUUUUCUCAAAAGGCUUUAUAGUACGAGUGAGUAGCUUUGCAUACAUUUUUUAGACAUUUAUAGUAAAGGUUCCUCUUGUUCUUUCAUAAAAAUUAGGAGGCCAUAACACUAACUAUGGUCAUCUCUUCACAAAAUGGAAAGUGUUCCUUUUUUCUACCUCCAGCAUUCUUUGUUACAAUCAGGGUAGCAACAAUUGUAUGCCUGAUUUUUUUUGCAGUAACUAGUCUGUUAAUUUCCCUUUCCUUAGUUAGAAUCUUGUGUGUUUUUAUAAUGUAAACGGUAGAUUAUGAGAGAAGUAGAAGUGCAUUUUCAAGUAAAGUUUCUUAAUUUUUCAUGUUUUCAUAUCCUGUAUUUGGGUAUAUUGCUAAGGUAAAAGGUGACAGUGGGAAAAUCAGUUUUACUGACCAUUAAAAUGUAUGUAUGACAAACAUUAAGAAAUGUAUGAACUGAUCUUACAACUAUUUAUACAUUGAAGUAUAUCUUUAAAAAUACUUGAGAAUAGACUUGAUUUUUCAAAGAGAUACUAAACUUCAUUACUAAGAACAUGUGUAGCAGGUCCAUAUGUAGCAAUGAACUGUUUCAGCUGUUUGUGGCACUGCAGUAGGUAAAUAUCCCUUUGAUCCAGAGAGUUCUCACUAUUGAGUUCAAAUGGAAACACAGCAUUUGGGGCCACACAAAACACAGAAGCACCUAUGAUAAUGAAAGCAGAAGAGUAAACUUGUAUAAUUUCCUCAAACUGCUACAAUGCUCAAGUAUCCGUGAAAGUUUGAUUGAUAUCAAUGGACAUUUCAAAUAGAAACCCCAAUCUAGUUAUAGCCAUCCCUGUCAGAUUUCUGAACACAAGAAGGAUGGGUAGAAAAUUUCUCAAUAUUCUAGAACUACUUUCAAAUGUUAAGAUUUUUAGUAUGCACAAUAAUAACUGGUUUUAAUUAGCCUCACUCAUACUGUGUCCAUACCUGCACUAUAAUAAAUAUUCCCAUUUUAAGAUGUUUCUUUUAAGGGCAGAAGACUGAACAUUUUAGCGGAAUCUAGCACAGUAAGAUUUACACAAUCUCAUAAAAUGAAAUCUUGGAUCCUGUCAAAGCCAAUGCAUUAAAAGCAGGUGUGGGGAACCCUUAACCCUCAAGUCCCAACCCAGCUGGAGUUGCUGAAAGGUCCUAGGGAGCUAAUAGAGGAGCAUGCACCCCAUCCAAAUCCCAGUUUAGAUCAAUCACUGCGACGAAAGCAGUCUAAAAUCCCACUGAACAUCCAAUUGAAAUGGGUCCACUUAAUCAGUACCCUUCCAGGUGUGUCUGGAAUUGUGAGGUCGUCCCAUCCUUGAGUUGCAAUAAUUGAAACUAAUCCCAGAAAACCAGACUAAGUGAUACACUGGAUGCAUUCUUUAUAGGAACCAAAAAGAACAGGAACUUCAAGUGUCUUUUUUCUGCCAAUGCCCCCACUGUAGCCUCCAGCAGAUGGUUAUGUCAGCACACAAGGCAGCAAAGAAAUAUAUAUAAAUGAGACCUGGGGUGCCGCAAACAGAACCUUACCUACUGUUUGGUAUCUGAUGGGCUCUGCUUUUCAGCCAACCAUAAAACAGCACGUUUAAGGAUUUUACGUGAACUUUUAGAGAGAUCUAAUUAAGAAAAGUUCAGUUUAAAAAGUCUUUACCAUGUUUUAAAGUGAGAGAUGAUUCAAAUAAUAAUACAGCAAUCAAAACAUCUUCUUCAACUACUUUUGUCCUUAAACUCAGCUUAGCAUGUGCUUUAGACAGUGAAAUCCUAAAAUACAAAGAUAAGUUUAAUGGUUAAUUUUAAAUCAGCUGUACAACAUUAAUAACUGUAUGUUUUUUGCAGCCUUUACACAUCAUAGAGAUAUGUAGCUGCUACAGUGACCUGUCUGGAGGGAAGUGAAGCAUGUGUAUUUUUGAAUAAAAAAUUCUAACCAA